rnacentral:rRNA from 1 species
CAGUCGCCGCGGGAAUACGGAGGGAGCUAGCGUUGUUCGGAAUUACUGGGCGUAAAGCGCACGUAGGCGGUUAUUCAAGUCAGAGGUGAAAGCCCGGGGCUCAACCCCGGAACUGCCUUUGAAACUAGAUGACUAGAAUCUUGGAGAGGUCAGUGGAAUUCCGAGUGUAGAGGUGAAAUUCGUAGAUAUUCGGAAGAACACCAGUGGCGAAGGCGACUGACUGGACAAGUAUUGACGCUGAGGUGCGAAAGCGUGGGGAGCGAACAGGAUUAGAUACCCCGGUAGUCCCUGUCUCUUAUAC